rnacentral:rRNA from 1 species
AUUGAACGCUGGCGGCAGGCUUAACACAUGCAAGUCGAGCGGGGAAGGUUGCUUCGGUAACUGACCUAGCGGCGGACGGGUGAGUAAUGCUUAGGAAUCUGCCUAUUAGUGGGGGACGACAUCUCGAAAGGGAUGCUAAUACCGCAUACGUCCUACGGGAGAAAGCAGGGGACCUUCGGGCCUUGCGCUAAUAGAUGAGCCUAAGUCGGAUUAGCUAGUUGGUGGGGUAAAGGCCUACCAAGGCGACGAUCUGUAGCGGGUCUGAGAGGAUGAUCCGCCACACUGGGACUGAGACACGGCCCAGACUCCUACGGGAGGCAGCAGUGGGGAAUAUUGGACAAUGGGGGGAACCCUGAUCCAGCCAUGCCGCGUGUGUGAAGAAGGCCUUUUGGUUGUAAAGCACUUUAAGCGAGGAGGAGGCUACUGGUAUUAAUACUACCGGAUAGUGGACGUUACUCGCAGAAUAAGCACCGGCUAACUCUGUGCCAGCAGCCGCGGUAACAC